rnacentral:rRNA from 1 species
UACGAAGGGGGCUAGCGUUGCUCGGAAUCACUGGGCGUAAAGGGUGCGUAGGCGGGUCUUUAAGUCAGGGGUGAAAUCCUGGAGCUCAACUCCAGAACUGCCUUUGAUACUGAAGAUCUUGAGUUCGGGAGAGGUGAGUGGAACUGCGAGUGUAGAGGUGAAAUUCGUAGAUAUUCGCAAGAACACCAGUGGCGAAGGCGGCUCACUGGCCCGAUACUGACGCUGAGGCACGAAAGCGUGGGGAGCAACAGGGAAGUU